UGGGGAAUUUUGGACAAUGGGCGCAAGCCUGAUCCAGCAAUGCCGCGUGCAGGAUGAAGGCCUUCGGGUUGUAAACUGCUUUUGUACGGAACGAAAAGCUUCUGGUUGAUACCUGGGAGUCAUGACGGUACCGUAAGAAUAAGCACCGGCUAACUACGUGCCAGCAGCCGCGGUAAUACGUAGGGUGCGAGCGUUAAUCGGAAUUACUGGGCGUAAAGCGUGCGCAGGCGGUUAUGUAAGACAGAGGUGAAAUCCCCGGGCUCAACCUGGGAACUGCCUUUGCGACUGCAUGGCUAGAGUGCGGCAGAGGGGGAUGGAAUUCCGCGUGUAGCAGUGAAAUGCGUAGAUACGCGGAGGAACACCGAUGGCGAAGGCAAUCCCCUGGGCCUGCACUGACGCUCAUGCACGAAAGCGUGGGGAGCAAACA
rnacentral:rRNA from 1 species